CAUAUCGGGGGGUAUUAAGCAAAUUACUUCUUUGAAUAAAUUAUCCACACUUCUGGAUAUGUAGACAUAGUUCUGGAGGGUUAUAGCUUAGAAAAGGCUAGAAGCUCAUGUUGGGGAUUGACUUUCUCUUUUAGUUUUCUAUUUUUUAAGGGAGAGGGUCUCACUCUGUCACUCAGGCCAGAGUGCAGUGGCGUGAUCCUGGCUCACUGCAGACUUGAAAUCCUGGGCUCAAGCCAUCUUCCCGCCUCAGCCUUCCAAGUGGCUGGGACUACAGGUUUGCACCACCAUAUCUGGCUAAUUUGUAUUUUUUUUGUAGGAACCAGGUCUUGCUUUGUUGCCCAGCUGGUCUCAAACUUCUGGUCUCGAGCAAUCCUCCCACCGCAGUCUCCCCAAGUGUUGGGAUUACAGGCAUGAGCCACUGUGCUCUACCAGAGUUGAUGUUCAAAUUUUUAUAGAGAACGAAAGAAUUUCACUGGUAACUGUCAGAGCAGUCCUUAAGGAUAUGUCAGAAAGAAAAAAAAUUAUGAUUUGAGAUAGAAAAAAUGCCAAAUGUAUAUAACAGAAAUGCACAGUAACAGGGAAGCGACGGGAAGGACAGCAGACCCAAGACACUCCAUUUCUGGAUGGCGUGGAUGCACCAUAUCGUUUAGGUGAAGAAAGGCAACAUAAAACAUUAACAUCAAUUUUUUUUUUUAAAGGUUGUAGUCUAUGUAAGUUUAUAGAAAGUUCCCCAUAUUUUUAGUGAUGAUACCAUUUUGAGAGGUGGCUUAUGGAGUAUGAGACAAAGCAUAAUUCAAAGGUGUCACUGUGAUGUCACAGGGAAUCAAAACCACAGGGGGCUCAAUGGGACUAGGCCUGGACAUGCCAAGUUAUCAGGUCACAAAAUCCAUUAUGUUUACAAACUUAAGACUUCUGCUCAAUUUUUCUCUAUAUCCCCAAAAUUUUACUAAUUUAGCACUUGGCAUUAAACAUUAUUGGCCAAUAAUAAUAAAUAUUGUAUCAGUAGACUAUAUUACAUUUUGCAAAACAUUUUCAGGUCCAUCAAUUUUGCUCUCCACAUAGUCAAUCAUUUAUUCAUUCAACAAAUACAGAUUGAAUGAUAACCACAUACAAACCAGCAUUGGGGGUGCUUGAGAAACAUUGAAUGUAUCAUUGUCAACAGACAAAGAUACCUCCCCUUGUGGUGUUUACAUUUAGCACAAAAAGGCAAAACAUACAUAAAUUAAAUAAGCCUAACAAUAUAGUACGACGACACGUACUGUAUGGGGAACAAAGAGCCUCCACUGAGCCUGGCAAGGGCGACUGGAAAGGUGAGCUCUAGAUGGGCUCUGGGGGGAGUAGGGCUGUGUGGUAUCACUGAGAAGCUGGAUCUCAGAAGAGUUAAGGAAGAAAGGGAAUAAUGAGUCAAGGGGAUAUCAGGGAAAAGGGAAUGUCAAGCAGAAGCCACAGGCGGGGAAAUGGCCCUGUGAUGGGAAGUGCCUGCUUUGGUGGAAACCCAGCCAUGAGGCCAGGGCAGCUGGAGCAGAAUGCAAAGGGAAGUGGGGGUGGGAGAGAUAAUCAGAGGAGGGAUGGGGGUUCAGAUCCUCUAGGGCCUGGGGGUUCACAUCCUCUAGGGCCUGGGGAUUCACUGUGAGGAUUCUGACUUUCACUCUAAGUUGAAUGGGAGGUCUUUGUGAUGGUAUCUAAGUCACUGUGAUGCCAACAUAUCCUUGGGUGCUAAAGGAAUCAGCCCAGCUGCUGUAGAGAGAAUGGGAGUGGAAGGGGAAAGAGAAGAGUCAUUACAGGAGACACACAAAACUAUGAACCUAAGAAUGCAAGAGAUGAAGACUCACAUUGGUUUACUGACUGAUAUAAACCACAAUAAUAUGCACAGUGAGACAGGAUUCAGCAGAGACAGUGAGACCAGAGUACUGGGCUACACAGUGGGAAAUGGAUACUCCUGGGACUGGGACACUCAUUCCAUCCUAUGGAGAGAGUAGAAGACAUGUGGAGGUGUUCUCCCUCCCACCCAGGGCUUCCCCGUCUCACUGAAUGGGUGGUGCCCCAUGGAAGGGGUAUCUCAAGCCACCCACCUGAUCCCUGUGGGAAGGGAUGCUGUUGCUGAGCUGAAGUCCACCUUCCCUACACAGACCUUGCAUGAACGAGGGCUAGGGCACACAUGGCCUGUGGAACACCAAGAAGAGGGACACGAGGAUGCGUUAUUUCCUCUGUUUGCAAAUCUAUCACAGAGAGUAGAAGUGUUCGCUCAUGAUCAAACAAUUAAAAAAUCUAGGAAGAAGGCUACGUUAGUAAUAUGAUUGGAAGGUAAGUUAAAGAUGUCAGUCGAAAAAAUCUCCCUGGAAGAGAAAAACAUCUUGAACUUCAAAUUGAGGAGGAAAAUUAAACCUUCUGCAGAUUAUUAUCAGAUAAUGUUAAAUAAUUUGCCAUUAAUUAAUAUUUGGUUAGCAUUGAAGCAUUUACCAUUUAAACAUUUUAGCAUUUGUGUAAUAUUUAUUUAUUUAUUUAUUUAUUUAUUUAUUUAUUUAUUUAUUUUUGAGAUGGAGUCUUGCUCUGUUGCCCCGGCUG
rnacentral:lncRNA from 1 species